AUCUUCUUCCCUCUCCUCUCCCUGAUGCCGCUGACGCUCUCCCUGCUCGUCCACGCCCGCGCCUCCGCCUCCCCCUCCCCGUCUCGCUCUACGCCUGCCGCUCCACCGCUGCCGCCUCGCCCAGCUUGGCCACCCAACCUCCACCUCCCCGGCACCCGGCCCACACUAGAUCUGGCGGGGGCAUGCUCAGCGCGGCGGCUGGCGACCCCCCAAUGUGGAGGCCCUGGCCGGGCUCAGGCACGGCACCGGAGGCCUCGGCAGACUCGACCCACCAGAUCUCGCGCGGGCGGGGGCAGGAGCUGUGGUGGCACGACGGGCGGCUGCGGGAGUGGCGUGCGCCUAGAGGGAGCAGCGGUGGCUGGAGUUGCAGAGCUGCGCUCGCUCCCUUCGCUCUCCUACCCGCCAGCACGAGCACUACCGUCGCUUGAGCUCGGGGAGCCGUCGGGAGCUCGUGCAGCCUCGGAAGUAUGUGGACCACGUGCAGCCGCGCGGGAUCCGGCGGCUUGUCGAGCCCACACCAGCACGAGCACCGCACCUGAACACUCAUCAUGCCGCUUCAUACUGACAUGGGUGAAGUGCAGUUGUCGCUCGCCUCACUCGCCGCGCGACAUUUGGCGACGCACAUUAGGCAAAGGAUCUAUUUUCCGGCGAUUCGAGGCGAUGCCCAAUGGAAUGCAACGAUGGAGAUGGCCACAGUUUCGCCACGGCACGGGACGACGACGCUGGAGAUCUCCCCACACGCCCCUCGCCCGGCUCCCACACCUCUGCCACCUGUAGUCUUUUGCUCCCAGGAAGAACAAGGUGAGCAACUUUGGUGAGGCCCUAGAGGCCAGACACGUGGAGGAAAUAUUGCUUGUGAGCAAAAUCGAGUGAGAGGAAAUUCAUGAGGCUGCACGUCUAGCUCUUUUUUUUUAGGGCACAUCUCGAGAGCUUUUAUUCAUUUGCAGCAUCAUUACAAUCUCUACCAGCAAUCUCUACAAGCCAAUCUGGGAGAAUGCCGGACCAAGAAAACGAAGGGCUAGACUCCGAUGGCAUACUCGCACACUUGUGAGCAGCCUCUCAUUACCUUCCCUAUGAACAAAAGAAACAUCAAAAGCUACAAACCCAAUUCUAAGCUCUCCGAUUUCGUGCCAAAUUCCCGAGAUACCACUGCGAAUCCCUUCUUCCGAUCGAAUGAGGUUCGCCACAGACAGAUUGUCCACCUCCAAUAUCACUUCGGUUGCUUCCCGUUCAGUAGCAAGCAGCACACCAUCCCUUGCUGCCAAAGCUUCAGCCAUCGUCACAUCUGCAACGUUAGUAUUGGCGCGAGCUGCGGCAGCCAAAACUUCACCCUGGGAGUUUCUAAUCACCACGCCACUAGCUCCGGAUGAUGUACCAGCAGAGUAAGAAGCAUCUGUACAAGUUGAUCUUGAGCCAGCCUUCCGGCGGCCGACUCCAUCGGCUCCUAGACAUCGGCAUAUUCACCUCAUGUGUCUCAAUCGAGCAUACCAUGUCCUCCAACAUUGCUGCACGUCUAGCUCCUGAGGUAGCCGAGAGGUACAUGAAGGCAGCGCCACUCUCAUUCUCUUACCGAAUGCAUCACACUUAUUCUGUUCUAUUGGAACAUUAUUGUGUGAUUAGCUCUCCAAUUUCAAUAAAUGGAACGAUAUAAAUUGUUUCUCAACCGAAAACUGGGAUAUGAUAAAUCUGCUAGCUUUGUUUGUAUUAACCUAUACAAAUCAUAUAUUUCUAAGCAAUUUGCUGAAAAUGUUACUCCCUAUGUAACGACCCGGCCCGGGAUAACGGCUAAGAUCUACUCUACGCUUUGAGUAAA